GCAUUGUAUUGUAUUUUUCCUUUCUGCUUCCCAUUUCUCGGAGACAAAUCUGGUUGCCAUGGAGACCAUGCUGUUGUCAAGGUGGCUGAUUGGCCGGCGCGGGAUGCGGGGACGUUUCCUUGGGCCCCCGGCGGGCGCAGCCCUCAGCCCGCACUGCGGAGCCAGGCGGCAGCAUGGACCGGGCUGGGGCAGACAUGUGGGCCAGCACCUUCACCCUGGCCAUGGCCGAGAGGAAGCCCCAGGACGUCUGGGUUCUGCUACCUGAGCACAGCCUGGUCCCGGGAUGCCUGGACGGCGGUGGUGUCCAGUACCUGCUGGUGGGGCUCUCGAGGCUCCAGUGCGGUCACUGUCCGGGGACCUGGGACUCGGCCCAUGUGCACGUCCUCUUCC
rnacentral:lncRNA from 1 species